rnacentral:misc_RNA from 1 species
AGCAAAGUCUACAUUUGCUGUGAAAGUUCAAAUCCGAAGAGCUAUUGAGGCUGCAGAAAUUCCCUAUACUAAUGUCUCAUGUAACUAUUUUGCUGGUUAUUUCUUACCAACUUUGGUCCAGCCAGGAGUCACUGCUCCUCCUCGAGACAAAGUCAUCAUUCCCGGAGAUGGAAAUGUUAAGGCUGUAUUCAAUGAAGAACAUGAUAUUGGCACCUACACCAUUAAGGCUAUUGAUGACCCGAGAACGUUGAACAAGACCCUUUACAUCAGGCCUCUCAAGAACACCUUAUCGUUCAACGAGCUUGUGGCUAUAUGGGAGAAACUGAUUGGUAAAACUCUCGAGAAAAUCUACGUUCCAGAGGAGCAAAUUCUCAAAGACAUCCAGACAUCUCCAAUACCAAUCAAUAUCAUACUAGCAAUCAACCACUCAACAUUCGUGAAGGGUGAUCAAACCAAUUUUGAGAUAGAGCCAUCGUUUGGGGUAGAGGCCUCGGAACUUUAUCCAGAUGUUAAGUACACUACAGUGGAGGAGUACCUUGGCCACUUUGUCUAAACCACACCUUUGAGGUCUCCGAUCGUUCAAAUAAACUGUUAGAUGAUGAGUGUUAUCAGACAUUUUAUCUGGAAGUAUGAGUACUUGUUCACUAUGUCAUCGGAGACACGUUGAAUGGUAUGUUUUUAAGUCUGUUUUUAGUGUCCACACUGUGUAGUACUAUAAUGAAGCUACAGAAAAUGGAUUGUUGCAUUGUUGCUCUACCAUCUUG